ensembl:ncRNA Su(Ste):CR42415 Su(Ste):CR42415
CUACUAAUACACCUCAUACACCUCUGCCCUAAAUACUUGGUUCAGUGUUCGGUCCAAGCUGGUCAUAUCAGCACUCAUUCGAGUAGCAAAGCAAUUAACAUUCGUUAAUAGUGGUAAUCACCUGGGUAUAAUAAUAAUAUUAAUCAAUAAAACAUUCAAUUCAGUUUUUUAUUUAAUUUUAUGUUAAAAGAGUUUCCAAAAGUGUUUUCCUGGCUACAGCAAAUAUAUUUUAAUAAUUUAAUUUCAAAUUUAACAUUAUUCCUUAAAUAUACAAAUUCUGGUUUAAUGUAUUAUAGGAGUGAGUAGAAGGUUAAAACAUUAUUUUUAAUUUAAAAUAAAAUUAAAAUUUUGAUUCAAUCAUUUUUAUGUAAUUCUUUUUGUAGAGUAUUCAAUACUGGCAACUUCGUAUUUUAGUUCGAUUUCCCAUGCUGUUUUUGGUUAAUUUCCAACAUACCAGAUUGAUUUCGCGCGUAAAUUUAAACGCACUUUAUUGCCUUUUUGGAAGAACGUUGCUUCAAAACGGAAAAUCGAAGGAAAACCUGACCGGACCUAAGGGACAGCCUUGGGGGGAAAACUGGCAGUGCAUUUUCCCAGCCCCAAAGAUUUUCCCCGGCACGUCGGGGAACUUAUUAUGAAAUAAAAGAACUAAUACUUAUUAUGCCAGCCGAACAUAAAACGAACUUUCGAGUCUAGAGUUCCCAUCUGCAAGGGCAUGACAGAGUCCUGG